rnacentral:rRNA from 1 species
UACGUAGGGUGCGAGCGUUAAUCGGAAUUACUGGGCGUAAAGCGUGCGCGGGCGGUUCGCUAAGACAGAUGUGAAAUCCCUGGGCUUAACCUGGGAACUGGGUUUGUGACUGGCGGGCUGGAGUGCGGAAGAGGGAGGUGGAAUUCCACGUGUAGCAGUGAAAUGCGUAGAGAUGUGGAGGAACACCGAUGGCGAAGGCAGCCUCCUGGUCUAGCACUGACGCUCAUGCACGAAAGCGUGGGGAGCAAACAGG